rnacentral:rRNA from 1 species
CCUACGGGAGGCUGCAGUGGGGAAUAUUGCACAAUGGGGGAAACCCUGAUGCAGCGACGCCGCGUGAAGGAAGACGUAUCUCGGGAUGUAAACUUCUAUCAGUAGGGAAGAAAAUGACGGUACCUGAGUAAGAAGCCACGCCUAACUACGUGCCAGCACCCGCGGUAAUACGUAGGGGGCCAGCGUUAUCCGGAUUUACUGGGUGUAAGGGGAGCGUAGGCGGUUUAGCAAGUCAGUAGUGAAAGCGCGGGGCUCAACUCCGAGACUGCUUUUGAAACUGUUGAACUAGAUUGCAGGAGAGGUAAGUGGAAUUCCUAGUGUAGCGGUGAAAUGCGUAGAUAUUAGGAGGAACACCAGUGGCGAAGGCAGCUUACUAAACUGUAAAUGACACUGAGGCUCGAAAGCGUGGGGAGCAAACAGGAUUAGAUACCCGAGUAGUC